rnacentral:rRNA from 1 species
UACGAAGGGGGCUAGCGUUGCUCGGAAUGACUGGGCGUAAAGGGCGCGUAGGCGGAUGGCACAGUCAGAUGUGAAAUUCCCGGGCUUAACCUGGGGGCUGCAUUUGAUACGUGUUGUCUUGAGUUCGGAAGAGGGUCGUGGAAUUCCCAGUGUAGAGGUGAAAUUCGUAGAUAUUCGCAAGAACACCAGUGGCGAAGGCGGCUCACUGGCCCGAUACUGACGCUGAGGCAUGAAAGCGUGGGGAGCAAACAGG